rnacentral:lncRNA from 1 species
AUGUGGAAUAUAUGCGAAUUCUUAUUAUUAUAAAUAGCAUGCGAAUUGCCAUUAUAUAUAGCAUGCGAAUUGCCAUUAUAAUCAACAUAUCCUAAAGUAGUAGUCCUCAUCACCGUUAUUUGAAAUUGCACCAGAAGAAUCGAGCGGAGGUUGGGGAAGAAGAAUCCUAUUCUUGAAUAUCAUUGCAACCCUGGAUUUUGGAUCGUUCAAAGGUGCUAAAUCAUAGAGUUGUUCAAUGAGAGAUAGCCUCCAUGUCUUCAACAUUUCCUCCAUUGGCAAUGAAUAUUGCACCCCGUGUGAUAAGUCACUUCAACCGUUCCUGCUUCUUCAUGCAUCACCCAACUGCUAAGUGUUGGUAGCGGAGUAUCGUCAAUAUCAUCAUCAUCUUCAUCAUCAUCUUCUGCCAGAAAAUUUGUCUUCAGUCUUUUUAUUACAGUUCGGGUUCUUUCACAAUUGUUGGCCGUUGGAACCCCAAGGGCAAGGAUAUCACUCUGAACCCCUUCAUUCAUACCAAGCAUGGCUGUGAUUGUCCUUACCUUCACCCUUCUCAUAUCAGAGAACUUUAUGAUGAAUCGUUUCUCUUUCCUUUCAAACCUCCAUGCAAUAACCUUAGCCAUUUUUGAAGUUUUAGGCGUUUUGGACAAUAUGUGGCAUUUAUAGUCAAUGUUUUGGCGUGUUUGAGGUUGUGUUCUCAUGGUCUUAUUUUAUAUUGACUUUUUUUUCCGCGCAUGACAGGUAAUUAUGGCGUUUUGAAAAAGAUAAAUAAAUUCAAUUCCCCAAGUAUUUGGCUUUCAAUAUAAUAAAUGUUAGUAAUUAUGUUUCCGUCGUUUCAUUUUACUGUUUUUGCAGUUA